GGGGGCGCAACGGAUUCGACGGGAUUGAAUCGUUGUGUGAAGGCGUGUCGGGUUCCGAGCUCCCGUAAAACGAUCGGAAAACAACAACUGCCAAUAAUCAGCAGUUUGCUUACGCUGCCUAAUUAAAAACUAGGUAGUGCGCUCCGGUUGAUGAGCUUGCGCGUUAGCCAGUGAGCGUCAUUUUGCAGGAUAGGUGUCAGGCUUCGGUCCGGAGCCAUGUGCCGAGAUCAAUCGGACUAGGCGGCUUUCGCUCUUGCCGGUUUUUUAGGAAGUCGCUGAACCACUCAGAACCGGAUACACACGUAGGCUUUGCACGGCGGACUUUUUCGGACGCGGGUUCAACUCCCGCCGCCUCCACCA
rnacentral:tmRNA from 1 species